ACGGGAGACGGGCCCCACGACUUAUGAAAAGCCCUGAGAUAGCCCCAUAGAGCAGUCUGCGUGAUUGAGCGAUAAGCGCUGGGGAGCCUGUCUGGCCGGGCCUGCCCCACAACCCCACCUUCAUCCCCAGCGCGGUACAAGCAGCUGUGUUCCCUGCUGAGUGCCAGAUAAAGUAGGAGACUUGCCUAGGAGAAGGCAUUUUUGGAGAAAUACGGUAUUGGUCUUUUCAGCAGGGCAAUCAGUUACCCGCUGGAAAGUGUGCGCGCUCUGCGCUGCCACCCCGGCCUCUAGGACUAUCUGAGGGGAUUUGCUGACCCCCACCUGAAGCCAAUGACACCUUGUCUCUGGGGCACAUUUCUGAAGACCGCAUAAUGCUUCACAGUCUACAAAAGCGUUCACAGACUGCUUUAGUCCACAUCAAUCCUGGCUAGCUUUUGGGUUCCCGCUUAGAGGUAGGCAGAGUGAGGCUCAGAGUGGCUUGCCCAAGAGAAACGUGGGUUGUUGGUGCUAGGCACCCUGCUGUGCCCUUUAAUCCACACUCCAGCUGGAUCCUCAGCCAAUCACUUUACAGUUGAAGAAACCGAUUCAGAGAGGGCACCAGCCUUGCCCUGUCUCACAGCUGGGAAGGAGCAGGUGGAGAGGUAGAGCCAGGCCAUCUUGCAGACACCCCCAGGGCACCUGUGCAGAGCUCUCCUACUCAGCUUCCUUCCUCUCCCCUCCUGGCACUGGGAGGUAGGGAGCAUUGUCUCCUGCUUCUUCUGGAAGACAUUGCUAGAGCAGGAAUUUUUAACCAGACCCUUUCUAGGUUCUCUGGAAUGCUGUGGGUCUGGGCUUGCUUAACCGGGGAUAUGGGGACACUCUCUGUACACCAAGUCAGUGCCAGGAAUUCAGCUGCUGCUACCACCAGAAGCCAAACCACGGUUCAGCCAGAGGCCUUCAAGGACAUUUGUGUUGAGAAUGGUGAGAGGCUUUCUAAUUCACAGAAGUUGGAAUGACCACUUCUGGCAUUACAGCAGCCCUAGCUAUCCUGGAAAGAACAGUGGAAUUUGCCCAUUUUUGUAAAUGAAGAGAUAGAGGCCUGUAAAGUUCAGUUAUUCCUCAUUUUGUCUCAGUGCAGGUCAGGAUCGGGCAUGACCACAGCACUUCUCCAUCUGCCCUGCCCGCCCUUGGUCUUUACUCCUCACACACUCUCAGCCUAGUGCCUCCCAUCCUCUUAGUGAAAGCUGCAGCGAAAGGUCAGAAGAAGCUUGGAAGCAAAGACACAUCCUUAGCAGCUGCAGCACACAGGGAGGAGGCCCCACUGGCCAGAAAUUGGAUAACAGCCAAGAUGGUCCUGUUAAAACCUGAGUCAGAUCAGGUCCCUUCUGGGCUCAGAAGCUUCCAGUGGCUCCCAACUCACUCAGAGAAAGAACCAGGGCUAUUUUUGCUUCAAAAUCAUCCGCCUUGCGCGCCCUGUUCAGUGCCUGAGACGUGGUGAAUAAACCAAUCAGGAUGAAAAAAAGGAGCCGGCCCAAGGGCGGAGUGAUGAACCUCAGAGGAAGAAACCUGCGUUCACCAGGUGCGGGCCUGGGCCAGGCGCAGUCCUGGCGGCGUCAGGGGGCACACCGCGACGGGAGCUCAGACCUAGCAGCGGGGCCGCGCACCCUCCCUGUCCCGUGGCCCGCAGGCCCUGCCUCCACGCGCCCAGCCUCAGCGGCCUUUGUGGUGUCACAGCCGGCCUGAAGAAUGGUUGCCUUGGAGACGUAAACCCAAGAGCCCAGUUCCUGGAGCUGAGAACUGCCGCGCGGACGCUUCAGAGGGAGCUGGGGCGGUCGGGGCAGGUGAGGAUAUCCUUUAGAAGAGGAGGAGCCUUGCAUCAAUCCCCUGGGCCUCAGCUAGGAUGUCUGAGAUACCAUCCACUAUGGUCUCCAAGAACAAGACCAAUGACAAGAACAGUGUGGAAUCCUUGAGCAUCAGCUCUUCGUCAAUCACUGAAGACAAACCAAAGGAACAUGCAAGAAAAAACAAAGGUAACCUUCAAGCUGGGAGGCUGAACUCUGGGUUGGCGGGAGGCAAAUCCUCUCCCUCUGCCCUGGUCUCUAAAGCUAAGGGCAGAAGGAAAUGCUUCUUUUUCCGCUAGGAACUGGGUUACAGAGACUUGAAAUAACAGGCAUGUAAACAAAGUAGGAUUUAUUGCUCCCUCUAUUAAUGAGAAAUGUGGGAGGCAGUGCAGGCUUUCCUGAGGCUCCACAAACAGCAGUUCAAUGAAAUUCAGGUGACCAGGUCCGCAAGUCUCUCUGCUCCACCAGAAGGGAAUUAGGGCUUUCAACCGCAAGAUUGUCUCGUGCUCACAAAAUGGCGGCCGCAGCUCCAGCCUCAUCACAUCUGAUUCUAGGCAGAGAAAAUGAACCAAAGGAAGGGCAAAGCUACCCUCUGGCUGACUGAGCCUUUCUAGGGGAAAGGUUUCUUCCCAAAAGUCCCAUCCAGCAAUGUCUGCCCACAUUCCAAUAGGUA